GACGAACGCUGGCGGCGUGCCUAAUACAUGCAAGUUGAGCGCUGAAGGUUGGUACUUGUACCAACUGGAUGAGCAGCGAACGGGUGAGUAACGCGUGGGGAAUCUGCCUUUGAGCAGGGGACAACAUUUGGAAACGAAUGCUAAUACCGCAUAAAAACUUUAAACACAAGUUUUAAGUUUGAAAGAUGCAAUUGCAUCACUCAAAGAUGAUCCCGCGUUGUAUUAGCUAGUUGGUGAGGUAAAGGCUCACCAAGGCGAUGAUACAUAGCCGACCUGAGAGGGUGAUCGGCCACAUUGGGACUGAGACACGGCCCAAACUCCUACGGGAGGCAGCAGUAGGGAAUCUUCGGCAAUGGACGAAAGUCUGACCGAGCAACGCCGCGUGAGUGAAGAAGGGUUUCGGAUCGUAAAACUCUGUUGGUAGAGAAGAACGUUGGUGAGAGUGGAAAGCUCACCAAGUGACGGUAACUACCCAGAAAGGGACGGCUAACUACGUG
rnacentral:rRNA from 1 species